UACGAAGGGGGCUAGCGUUGUUCGGAAUUACUGGGCGUAAAGCGCGCGCAGGCGGUCUUCCAAGUCAGUGGUGAAAGCCCGGAGCUCAACUCCGGAACUGCCAUUGAAACUGUUGGACUUGAGUAUGAGAGAGGUGAGUGGAACUGCGAGUGUAGAGGUGAAAUUCGUAGAUAUUCGCAAGAACACCAGUGGCGAAGGCGGCUCACUGGCCCGAUACUGACGCUGAGGUGCGAAAGCGUGGGGAGCAAACAGG
rnacentral:rRNA from 1 species